CACUAUCGUUAACUGAAUACAUAGGUUAACGAGGCGAACCGGGGGAACUGAAACAUCUAAGUACCCCGAGGAAAAGAAAUCAACCGAGAUUCCCCCAGUAGCGGCGAGCGAACGGGGAGCAGCCCGGAGUCUGAAUCAGCUUGUGUGUUAGUGGAACGGUCUGGAAAGUCCGACGGUACAGGGUGAUAGUCCCGUACACGAAAGCACACUUGCUGUGAACUCGAAGAGUAGGGCGGGACACGUGGUAUCCUGUCUGAAUAUGGGGGGACCAUCCUCCAAGGCUAAAUACUCCUGACUGACCGAUAGUGAACCAGUACCGUGAGGGAAAGGCGAAAAGAACCCCGGCGAGGGGAGUGAAAAAGAACCUGAAACCGUGUACGUACAAGCAGUGGGAGCACCUUCGUGGUGUGACUGCGUACCUUUUGUAUAAUGGGUCAGCGACUUAUAUUCUGUAGCAAGGUUAACCGUAUAGGGGAGCCGAAGGGAAACCGAGUCUUAACUGGGCGUUAAGUUGCAGGGUAUAGACCCGAAACCCGGUGAUCUAGCCAUGGGCAGGUUGAAGGUUGGGUAACACUAACUGGAGGACCGAACCGACUAAUGUUGAAAAAUUAGCGGAUGACCUGUGGCUGGGGGUGAAAGGCCAAUCAAACCGGGAGAUAGCUGGUUCUCCCCGAAAGCUAUUUAGGUAGCGCCUCGUGAACUCAUCUUCGGGGGUAGAGCACUGUUUCGGCUAGGGGGCCAUCCCGGCUUACCAACCCGAUGCAAACUACGAAUACCGAAGAAUGUUAUCACGGGAGACACACGGCGGGUGCUAACGUCCGUCGUGAAGAGGGAAACAACCCAGACCGCCAGCUAAGGUCCCAAAGUCAUGGUUAAGUGGGAAACGAUGUGGGAAGGCACAGACAGCCAGGAUGUUGGCUUAGAAGCAGCCAUCAUUUAAAGAAAGCGUAAUAGCUCACUGGUCGAGUCGGCCUGCGCGGAAGAUGUAACGGGGCUAAACCAUGCACCGAAGCUGCGGCAGCGACACUAUGUGUUGUUGGGUAGGGGAGCGUUCUGUAAGCCGUUGAAGGUGUGCUGUGAGGCAUGCUGGAGGUAUCAGAAGUGCGAAUGCUGACAUAAGUAACGAUAAAGCGGGUGAAAAGCCCGCUCGCCGGAAGACCAAGGGUUCCUGUCCAACGUUAAUCGGGGCAGGGUGAGUCGACCCCUAAGGCGAGGCCGAAAGGCGUAGUCGAUGGGAAACAGGUUAAUAUUCCUGUACUUGGUGUUACUGCGAAGGGGGGACGGAGAAGGCUAUGUCAGCCGGGCGACGGUUGUCCCGGUUUAAGCAUGUAGGCGGAGGUUCCAGGUAAAUCCGGUACCUUAUUAACGCUGAGGUGUGAUGACGAGGCACUACGGUGCUGAAGUGAUAAAUGCCCUGCUUCCAGGAAAAGCCUCUAAGCAUCAGGUAACACGAAAUCGUACCCCAAACCGACACAGGUGGUCAGGUAGAGAAUACCAAGGCGCUUGAGAGAACUCGGGUGAAGGAACUAGGCAAAAUGGUGCCGUAACUUCGGGAGAAGGCACGCUGAUGUGUAGGUGAAGCCCCUGCGGGCGGAGCUGAAAUCAGUCGAAGAUACCAGCUGGCUGCAACUGUUUAUUAAAAACACAGCACUGUGCAAACACGAAAGUGGACGUAUACGGUGUGACGCCUGCCCGGUGCCGGAAGGUUAAUUGAUGGGGUUAGCUGUAAGGCGAAGCUCUUGAUCGAAGCCCCGGUAAACGGCGGCCGUAACUAUAACGGUCCUAAGGUAGCGAAAUUCCUUGUCGGGUAAGUUCCGACCUGCACGAAUGGCGUAAUGAUGGCCAGGCUGUCUCCACCCGAGACUCAGUGAAAUUGAACUCGCUGUGAAGAUGCAGUGUACCCGCGGCAAGACGGAAAGACCCCGUGAACCUUUACUAUAGCUUGACACUGAACACUGGUCCUUGAUGUGUAGGAUAGGUGGGAGGCUUUGAAGCGUGGACGCCAGUCUGCGUGGAGCCGCCCUUGAAAUACCACCCUUUAAUGGCUGGUGUUCUAACGUAGACCCGUAAUCCGGGUUGCGGACAGUGUCUGGUGGGUAGUUUGACUGGGGCGGUCUCCUCCCAAAGAGUAACGGAGGAGCACGAAGGUUGGCUAAUCCUGGUCGGACAUCAGGAGGUUAGUGCAAUGGCAUAAGCCAGCUUGACUGCGAGCGUGACGGCGCGAGCAGGUGCGAAAGCAGGUCAUAGUGAUCCGGUGGUUCUGAAUGGAAGGGCCAUCGCUCAACGGAUAAAAGGUACUCCGGGGAUAACAGGCUGAUACCGCCCAAGAGUUCAUAUCGACGGCGGUGUUUGGCACCUCGAUGUCGGCUCAUCACAUCCUGGGGCUGAAGUAGGUCCCAAGGGUAUGGCUGUUCGCCAUUUAAAGUGGUACGCGAGCUGGGUUUAGAACGUCGUGAGACAGUUCGGUCCCUAUCUGCCGUGGGCGCUGGAGAAUUGAGGGGGGCUGCUCCUAGUACGAGAGGACCGGAGUGGACGCAUCACUGGUGUUCGGGUUGUCAUGCCAAUGGCACUGCCCGGUAGCUAAAUGCGGAAGAGAUAAGUGCUGAAAGCAUCUAAGCACGAAACUUGCCCCGAGAUGAGUUCUCCCUGAGACUUUAAGUCUCCUGAAGGAACGUUAAAGACUAUGACGUUGAUAGGUCGGGUGUGUAAGCGCAGCGAUGCGUUGAGCUAACCGAUACUAAUGAACCGUGAGGCUUAACCUU
rnacentral:rRNA from 1 species